GGUGAUACAAAGAUGAAAUCUAAGGCCUCAAGGAGUUUCCCCUCUAGUAGGGGGAGGAGAGCUACACAAAUAAAUAUGGAACACUGAGUUGCAGGGCUUGCUGGAGGAAGAGUUUUCACAUGCUGUGUUGGGGACUUAGGUUGAAACUGAACUCUUUCAAGAGAGCAGCACUGGGAGCAGGUGAGAGGGCCUUGGAAGUUUAUAACAAACCACGUGGCCAGAUAUUUUGUGAAAUGCUGGCAGCAAUAAAGAAACUUAUCAAAUACACCAUAAAAAGGCCAUCAUGAGGACCUUGGGUGAAGAUAAUGAAUACAAGACAAUGGGUGAAAACCUCCUGACUCUAGAUCCAGACUUUUUUCUACUUCUGUACUAGCAGUCUUCUCAUCCUGGAGAUGUCUCCAUGACUGGAGACCCUUCCUCCAGUUGGCCAGUUCCUGCCUGAGGCCAACUUUUAAGGAAGUUCCCAGGUCCUCCAUGCUCACUCCUCUCCUGGAUCCAUUUCUGACUUCAGAAUUUUCCACCUUGUCUUGAAAAGUUGCACAAUUUCAGUUGGAUCAAGGAAUCACCUACUCUGAGGAUUCAUCAUGGUAUGGAAAUUGUGUUAGAGAGAG